UAUGGCCACAUCAUGCUGAAACACUAGUUCCUGUACAAUCCCUAAAGUUAAGCAAUGUCAGGCCUGGUCAGUACCUGGAUGAGUGACCACUUGAGAAUACCAGGUGCUGUAA